UGCAGUGUGUACAGCAAAUUUCUGUUCGCCUGGGAAGAAGGAAGUUUGAGUUAAAGAGGAGAGCAGCUCCAUACGCCUUGUAAUAAGCAAGAGAAGUGUGUUGGGGGGACUACUCCAGCCAGCAUCUUUAUGGAACAUUUAGGCAGGAGAGGCUGUGAUAAUCUUCAAGACACUCUGAUGAAGCAGAUUACAGGCACUGCCACAUGACAUUUCUAAAAUCUGAACAUUCCGAAUUCCAAAGCAUAUUCGGCCGCAGAGAUCUGGAUAAGAGAUUUGUAUUUUUCCUUAUUUUAAAGCUGAAUAAUAAUGGCAGUGAGUGGCAGAGCUCGGAUUUGAAUCCAGGAAGCUGAGGCCUGAACUGUGUCUGUAACCACUAGGCUAUCUUGGAGGAGGGGGCUGGUGCCUGCUGAUUGGAUGAAUGAAAGGCUUCGGGAGCUGCUCUGGUCCUGAAAACCUAAAGCCGCAGCUAACAGGAAAAGUGUAAUUUGUCUGGGGGUACUCAGAUGAGAACAGAGCAAUGGGGAACAGGAAUGCUGCUUCUGAAAGCACGAAGCAUUAUUUCCUCCCAUCAAGAGGGGAAGUGAGCCUCCCCUCGAGGGCUUGAAAGCUUCCUGGAGAAGAUCUGAAGUUGCCUCUAGGAGACAGUGGAAAAUUAACGUGGUUUUAAGUGAACAGUAGUGCCUUCAAAAAGGCUCAGAGGAGUGAAAUGGAUAUAAGUUGGCACAGGGCUGAUACUAUGGAUUAAAAACCUGGUUGUAGAUGGGUGAACACUAUAUGAUUUCCUCUGUGUUUAAAAAAAAGGCCUGUAUCUACAUGUGUGUGUGUAAAAAUACAGAGAAAGGAUGAGAAGAAUGCACUCACCAUUAAGACAGGAAGUAAAUCAGAAACAGGCGGGGGUGGAGGAAGGUGUGUGUGUCCGGGAGAGAGAAGGGUAACUUUCCAUUUUCAAUCACACACACUUCAGCAUUCUCCCUUUGCUUGUGUGACCUAAAAAUAAAGAAAAGCAAAUAAAAUUAACUUGCAGAAACAAACAAACAAACAAAAAACCCUCAAGGAAUCAGCUUCCUAAUAAACAGAAAGCCUUUUAACUUUUAAGAAUUAGGAAGCUCCAGGCACAAAAGACGGAUGCGUCCUGGUUUGGGGAAUUCGUAGUUAAAUCAUGUUUGGAAGCUGACUUAGAAUUCUACUUCAUCGUGGAACCAGGUAGGUCACUUAAAACCAUUACUGAAACUUCCUGUAACAAAAGGGAAAUGUUCGGUUCCCUCUCUUUCAUACAGCUGAUUAAAAUUAGUAACAUUUCUUUUUUUUUUUUUUUUUAGAGAUAGGAAGCAUUCAAAAUGACUGGUUUUUAUAAUUUAUCCUUUAAAAUACACACCCUAUGAGAUUAAGGCUUCAAAUCAUACCUUUGAAUAUUAAAAAGAAAAGCGUAUGUAAAAACCCAACCCUUCUCAGAGACUAAGAGGGGGAUGCUAUAGAUCCUGGAGCAUCCUUUAGAUCAUGUGCAAAAGAAUUUUAGUCUUUGUUUAAUCUAGUGUAAAACACUACAGUUGCCUUCUUAUUUUCAGAUUAUAUUUUAGUUGAAGUUUUGCUAGAUCGUCGGUUACUUUUAUUUAAUUCAUACCCCUGUAAGUCCUUAAACAGAAAAUAGGAAAUGAAGGAGGAUCCAGAGCAGUGUGAUGAUGGUGACCCCAAAUGGGCUCCACACCCACCCCAUCCAUACAUCUCCAUUUGCACGGAUACCAGGAAUUCAACAAAAUGGUGGCUGCUGGUGAGCCACGGUGUAGCAGCUUUUCCAGCUAUGAAUCUGCAACUGGCUUCAUUUAGGAGACAGUAUGCUUAAUUCCUGG